UCCCGCCUCGUCUAGCGGUAGGACAUCAGAUUUUGGCUCUGAAGGCCGUGGUUCGAAUCCAUGGGCGGGAACCA
rnacentral:tRNA from 1 species